GAUGAAGAGCUUGCUUUUCAAAGUUAGUGGCGGACGGGUGAGUAACGCGUGGGUAACCUGCCUCAUACAGGGGAAUAGCAGCUGGAAACGGCUGAUAAAACCGCAUAAGCGCACAGUGCCGCAUGGCACAGUGUGAAAAACUCCGGUGGUAUGAGAUGGACCCGCGUCUGAUUAGCUUGUUGGCGGGGUAACGGCCCACCAAGGCGACGAUCAGUAGCCGGCCUGAGAGGGUGAUCGGCCACAUUGGGACUGAGACACGGCCCAAACUCCUACGGGAGGCAGCAGUGGGGAAUAUUGCACAAUGGGGGAAACCCUGAUGCAGCGACGCCGCGUGAAGGAAGAAGUAUCUCGGUAUGUAAACUUCUAUCAGCAGGGAAGAUAAUGACGGUACCUGACUAAGAAGCCCCGGCUAACUACGUGCCAGCAGCCGCGGUAAUACGUAGGGGGCAAGCGUUAUCCGGAUUUACUGGGUGUAAAGGGAGCGUAGGCGGCGGAGCAAGUCAGAAGUGAAAGCCCGGGGCUCAACCCCGGGACGGCUUUUGAAACUGCCCUGCUUGAUUUCAGGAGAGGUAAGCGGAAUUCCUAGUGUAGCGGUGAAAUGCGUAGAUAUUAGGAGGAACACCAGUGGCGAAGGCGGCUUACUGGACUGACAAUGACGCUGAGGCUCGAAAGCGUGGGGAGCAAACAGG
rnacentral:rRNA from 1 species